UCCCUGGUGGUCCAGUGGUUAGGACUCUGUGCUUUCACUGUCAGGGGGCCCAAGUUCAAUCCUUGGUCAGGGAA